CCAUUGCCCACAGUUUUUAUGGAUAAAGAUAGGACUCAAGACACAGAAAAUAGCACUCCAAAUAAUAAUCCAAUGGAUGAGCAAGGAGAAGAAGAUAUGGAUAACAUUGCAGGACAUGUAGAGCUUACAGAGUCAGAAAUUGAGGAUACUAUGCAU